AGUGAACGCUGGCGGCGUGCCUAAUACAUGCAAGUCGAACGGAGUGGCGCACGGGUGAGUAAUGUAUAGAUAAUCAGCCCUACACUAAAGGACAACAGUUGGAAACGACUGCUAAUACUCUAUAGUGUAGGAUGAGGCUAUAUUGUAUCAGCUAGUUGGUGAGGUAAUGGCUCACCAAGGCUAUGACGCAUAACUGGUCUGAGAGGAUGAUCAGUAAAACUGGAUGUGAGACACGGGCCGGACUCCUCCGGGAAGCAGCAGGAGGGAAUAUUGCUCAAUGGGGGAAGCCCUGAAGCGGCAGCGCCGCGUGAAGGAUGACACUUUUCAGAGCGUAAACUCCUUUUGUUAGGGAAGCGGUACCUAACGAAUAAGCACCGGCGAACUCCGUGCCAGCAGCCGCGGUAAUUC
rnacentral:rRNA from 1 species